rnacentral:rRNA from 1 species
UAGUCCACGCCGUAAACGAUGUCGACUAGCCGUUGGGACCCUUGAGGUCUUAGUGGCGCAGCUAACGCGUUAAGUCGACCGCCUGGGGAGUACGGUCGCAAGAUUAAAACUCAAAUGAAUUGACGGGGGCCCGCACAAGCGGUGGAGCAUGUGGUUUAAUUCGACGCAACGCGCAGAACCUUACCAGCCCUUGACAUGGUAGUUUUGGUUUGGAGAGAUCCAACCUUUCCUUCGGGAGGCUACUGCAGGUGCUGCAUGGCUGUCGUCAGCUCGUGUCGUGAGAUGUUGGGUUAAGUCCCGCAACGAGCGCAACCCUUGCCUUCAGUUGCCAUCAGGUUGGGCUGGGCACUCUGGAGGAACUGCCGGUGACAAGCCGGAGGAAGGUGGGGAUGACGUCAAGUCCUCAUGGCCCUUAUGGGCUGGGCUACACACGUGCUACAAUGGCGGUGACAGUGGGCAGCGAGGUGCGAGCCGGAGCCAAUCCCCAAAACCGUCUCAGUUCGGAUUGCA